rnacentral:misc_RNA from 1 species
GAUGAAGAACGUAGCGAAAUGCGAUAAGUAAUGUGAAUUGCAGAAUUCAGUGAAUCAUCGAAUCUUUGAACGCACCUUGCGCUCUCUGGUAUUCCGGGGAGCACGCCUGUUCGAGUGUCGCGAAAUUCUUCAAGCCUUGGAUGGAUUUUUUUUUGUCUGUCCUUGGGCUUGGUUGUUGGGCUCUGCCGUGUCCUUCAUUGGGACGGCUGGCCUUAAAAGCAUUAGCCGAUCCUCGUGUGGUACUGGUUCUACUCAGCGUGAUAACAAUCUGAUCGUUGAGGACAUCUUCUGGAUGGCCAGUCAUCAUUUGGGUUGCUUCUAAACCGGUUUCGCAGAUUGCUCAAUCUGUGUGCCACUUUUCAGCUUUGACCUCGAAUCAGGUGGGACUACCCGCUGAACUUAAGCAUAUCAAUAAGCGGAGGA